rnacentral:rRNA from 1 species
UAAGGAAUAUUGGGCAAUGGAGGCAACUCUGACCCAGCCAUGCCGCGUGCAGGAAGACAGUCUUAUGGAUUGUAAACUGCUUUUAAUAGGGAAUAAUUUCGAUUAUGUAUAGUUGAUUGCAGGUACCUAUAGAAUCAGCAUCGGCUAACUCCGUGCCAGCAGCCGCGGUAAUACGGAGGAUGCAAGCGUUAUCCGGAUUUAUUGGGUUUAAAGGGUGCGCAGGCGGACUAAUAAGUCAGUGGUGAAAUUUACAUGCUCAACAUGUAGCGUGCCAUUGAUACUGUUGGACUAGUAUACAAAUGACGUAGCUGGAAUGUGUUAUGUAGCGGUGAAAUGCAUAGAUAUAACACAGAACACCGAUCGUGAAGACAGGUUACGAAUUUGUUAUAGACGCUCAUGCACGAAAGCGUGGGGAUCAAACAGG